CUAUCAAUCAUAAAUUUGGAUUUACACCCGACUCUAUAGGAGCUACUCAGUAUAGCUUAAAAUGGCAGAUUUUAAGCGGGAUUGACUAGACGGGGCUUGCAAAAUGACGUUGGAGCGGCCUAAACCCCCGCAACCAACCCCGAGCUCUUCCGGACCAUGCACAACUCAGUCAAAGCUGAAUGUUCCCAAGAAAGAUGAACCAAUGAAUAGCAGGAUGAGUCCAACCACGUUAAAUGUGAUGUGCUCGAGUGGGGAGCAUGAAGAGUUGUUUUCCAAUAGUAUGCUUUGUCUGGAGAAUGAUCUGGACAAGAUCAGUAUCACUGCCACCAAGUCCUCAAACUCCAUGCCAUCAACUGCCACCACCAGUGCCGCUACCCAAAAUUCACCAGCAACAAGUCCAGACAGCAAUGAUGACUCUUCUGUUGAUAUGGACGUAAGCUACAGGACUGGCCAGCAGACUGCAGGCUUUUUUGAAGGACUUCUGGGAUGUCUAAGACCAGUGUGGACCAUCAUUGGGAAGGCAGCUGCGGCAGAGCUAAAACACCAACAAGAUGACUGGGAGAUUCCGUUUGAGAACAUCACUGACCUGCAGUGGCUUGGGAGUGGGGCUCAGGGGGCUGUGUUCCUGGGCAAGUACCGUGGAGAAGAGGUGGCUGUCAAGAAAGUACGAGAUGUUAAGGAGACUGACAUCAAAGACCUAAGAAAACUGAACCAUCCAAACAUCAUCAACUUCAAAGGAGUAUGUACCCAGGCACCAUGCUACUGUAUUGUGAUGGAAUAUUGUCCCUAUGGCCAGCUAUAUGAGGUCCUGAGAGAUGGGAAGGAGAUACCUCCUGCACUGCUACUGGAUUGGGCAAAGCAGAUUGUCAGUGGAAUGAGUUACUUGCACACUCACAAGAUGGUGCACAGGGAUCUGAAAUCACCAAAUGUCCUAGUAGCCAAGAAUGAUAUUGUGAAGAUCUCAGACUUUGGUACUUGCCGUGAAUGGAGUGAGAAAAGCACAAAGAUGUCAUUCGCUGGAACUGUUGCAUGGAUGGCUCCUGAGGUCAUACGCAAUGAACCAUGCUCUGAGAAGGUUGAUAUUUGGUCAUUUGGUGUGGUGUUAUGGGAGCUCCUAUCCCAUGAAGUCCCUUAUAGAGAUGUUGAUUCAUCUGCUAUUAUAUGGGGGGUAGGAAGUAACAGCCUGCACCUCCCUGUGCCCUCUACCUGUCCUGAUGGCUUCAAACUACUUAUGAGGCAGUGCUGGAGCCCAAAGCCCCGUAAUCGCCCAUCAUUCCGGCAGAUACUAAUGCAUCUUGAGAUCGCACAGAGUGAGCUGCUAGCUCUGUCUAAUGACCAGUUCAAGGAGGAGCAGCAGAUCUGGAAGGAUGAGAUCCUGGAACAGCUAGAGGAGAUCAAGAGUCAGGGAUCUUGUAUGCCUCAACUGGAAGAGGAGCUGAUAGCACGCAGGAGGGAGGAACUCAGGCACGCCCAAGAUGUACGAGAGCACUAUGAGCGUAAAUUAGAGAGGGCCAACAACCUCUACAUGGAGCUAACAGCUUGUAUGUUACAACUGGAGAAGAGGGAACGUGAACUUAUGAAGAGGGAGCAGGCACUGAUAGCUAACAGUCGCAAGAGGAAGAGUAUUCUAAAGCCAGUGAUCAGAGCCCAGGAGAGAAUGGAGAAUGGCUUGGCCAAGAAGAGAGUUCACAAGACAACAUCUGACCCUGGCACUAGCCCUGAUGUCGCUCCUUAUGAAGGCUACAUAGGACUUGGACUGGAAUUUGAUAUCAAUGAAGAUGGUACACAACCAUCUCCUUCAAAGAUGCGCUCCCGCAAGUCACGACAUCGCCGUAGUAACAGUCGCAGCAACAAUAGCUUGGCAACUGCGAUCAAGAGCCCCACGAAGGAGGCACUUCACAAUGAACUAGAAACAAAAAAGAUUGAAUUACGCCAUGUGGACAUUUCACAAGUGAACGCCACAACGUUUAAAUACCUGGGCCCCUCAACUGCUAUACGUGAAAAGGACACUGAUAGUGAUAGCCCCAUAGGGCAGGUGAAACUCAGAGAGAGAAUAUGUGAAGAUAGGAACUUAAAUGACAUUUGUUUCGGCUGUGACGGUGGCUGCAGCGAUGCUACAUGUAGUAGUAAGCGGAGUUCACGACUUAGUGCUGAUGCCGAUGUAGAAAGUAACACAGCAAACACUCCAUGUUUGAGUCCCACCCAGGGGCUUGACCCCACCCGCACAGGCUCCACCCCCUGUUCUCCCUGUCGCAUGCAGGCAAACAUGCACGAGAAAGACAACAUACCUCUUAAUGACAUUACCAAUGAGGAAGACACAGAAAAUAUGAAUAUACAAAAUUUAGUUGAAAAACUCACUGAGACUUUAAAUAAUUCUGAUGUUAUAUCCCCAUAUAAUAGUGACAAGGAAUUGGUGAAUAGUAAAACCAAUAGUUUAAAUAGGCAGAUAAAGCGCAGCAUCAGUGUUAGUCCAGAAAGCCCAAAGAAGGUCAUGGCUGGCCAGUCACCAGCUAGGGCAACUAGGGGGCAGACUACCACUGAGGUGGGGAGAGGGAGGCAGUAUUCCUCAGGGGAGGAGGAGUACCCUGGUAGUGAUGAGGAUGAGAGGAAGAACAGGUGCCGCCAAUCAUACGGGUCAACAUUUAGCUCCGAAGUGGGCUUAUCAGAAGAGGAGAACACAAGUGAACACUCAACGCGGGAUACACCCGAUGGUCUCCUGAGUACGUACAGCACAGAGAAUCUGCACUUAGACCUCACUAGCAAUCUCUCUGAUGGCCUCUCUGAUAAGGAGAGUGUUAUGAAAAGGCGUAUGAGGAAUCACCUGUCUCAGUCUCCAGAGCAUAUAAGACAGAAUCAGCUAGCCAAUGAGAGCAGUUCAGACUCUGACGAUUGCUCUGAUAUCACUGUCUCGUCAGCCGUGCACAAGUCCCGAAGCUCUGAGCGGACAUUAGAAAAUGUUUGGUAAACAGACAGCCAAAGCAUACCAAGUAAUAUAAGAGUCUAUCAAAAUGAAGAUCGCCCUAGGCCCGGGACAGGCCCUUUCAGGAAAUUGAUAUGAUAAGGGCAUGUAAAGUUCAUCAAUUAUAUGUAGGAAUUUCUACAUGAAGGCUUAGGAUGGAAUCUGUCAAUGUUAGAUUUCAUUGGAAUGCAGACUAAUAGUAGUUGAUGACAGAUUCAGAACGAAUACAAUUUUUGUGAUGCAAUGAACAGUUAGGUAAAGCUGUCUCCUUAUAUGAUCUUCCAUAUUAAAUUUCGAUCCUUGUCAAUCGUUGAUCCAUAAUUGAUUUUGGAUCCAGUGUAUUGACCUGGAUACUUUGUUGGAGACGCUUGAUCUCCUGGUGCCUAUAAGACAACUUAUGUCAGUAUAGAGAGACUGAUAACAGUAUAGGGAGUGACAGUUAAAAGAUAGACCGGUGACAGUUAGAGGAGACAGUUUAGACUUAGAGACUGGUGACAGUAUAAUGAGACUGUUAACAACAGAGAAACUGGUGACAGUUAAGGGAGCAUUGAGACUGGCGACAGUUCAGACUUAGAGACUGGUGGCAGUAUAAUGAGAC
rnacentral:misc_RNA from 1 species